GACGUAGAGCGCGAGCGUUGUCCGGAUUUAUUGGGCGUAAAGCGCGUGUAGGCGGUCUUCUAAGUCUGAUGUGAAAGCCCUGGGCUCAACCCAGGAAGUGCAUUGGAUACUGGAAGACUUGAAUACGGGAGAGGGUAGUGGAAUUCCCAGUGUAGCGGUGAAAUGCGUAGAUAUUGGGAGGAACACCAGUGGCGAAGGCGGCUCACUGGACCGGAACUGACGCUGAGGAGCGAAAGCGUGGGGAGCGAACAGG
rnacentral:rRNA from 1 species